rnacentral:lncRNA from 1 species
UCAAAAUGGCAAAUUGAAUGAACUUGAAUUCCUCGAAUGAUCUCUCUAAUACCCUACGGUUUGUUGGUAGCCUCAAGGCCAAGGGAAAGCAUACUUGUAUCCCGGACAACAAAAUCAGAGCUACAACAAUCUCUGCAUGAUGUAAUAACACCUUUAGUCUCGACUCUGACACAGUGAUUUAAAAAGAUAGGUGCUCCUAUCGAGCAACUCUUGAUCAAUGGAACAUUGCUUCAUUGGACAACAUUACACCUAAAUCAUAUCCAGAGAACAUAGUUCUUUAAUGCAGGCUAAAAACUACCUGCA